rnacentral:rRNA from 1 species
GAUGAACGCUGGCGGCGUGCCUAAUACAUGCAAGUCGAGCGAACGGACGAGAAGCUUGCUUCUCUGAUGUUAGCGGCGGACGGGUGAGUAACACGUGGAUAACCUACCUAUAAGACUGGGAUAACUUCGGGAAACCGUAGCUAAUACCGGAUAAUAUUUUGAACCGCAUGGUUCAAAAGUGAAAGACGGUCUUGCUGUCACUUAUAGAUGGAUCCGCGCUGCAUUAGCUAGUUGGUAAGGUAACGGCUUACCAAGGCAACGAUGCAUAGCCGACCUGAGAGGGUGAUCGGCCACACUGGAACUGAGACACGGGCCAGACUCCUACGGGAGGCAGCAGUAGGGAAUCUUCCGCAAUGGGCGAAAGCCUGACGGAGCAACGCCGCGUGAGUGAUGAAGGUCUUCGGAUCGUAAAACUCUGUUAUUAGGGAAGAACAUAUGUGUAAGUAACUGUGCACAUCUUGACGGUACCUAAUCAGAAAGCCACGGCUAACUACGUG